rnacentral:lncRNA from 1 species
AUUCUUUCCACCCUGGAUGAAGAGAAGCCACUGUGGAUAUUAAUCAGUAGUAUUUGCUCCCUGGUCUGUUAUCUGAGUCUUUUGGGGUGCUCAGUGAUUACAGCAGGCCAGCUCUAGAUCCAGAUCUCCUCCCCACCUACAGGUCAUUGGAUAUGUAUUGCUUAGAAAGGCUCUUGACAAGGCAGACAGGACAUCCAGAUAAUGAUCACCUUGAAGAACGUUUUGACUGAUGCUUUUGGUGAACUUUUGCCUUGACAAAUUUAGAAAGAGAAGACA